rnacentral:rRNA from 1 species
CAGUCGAACGAGGCACUUUAAUUGAUUUCUUCGGAAUGAAGUUUUUGUGACUGAUUGGCGGACGGGUGAGUAACGCGUGGGUAACCUGCCUCAUACAGGGGGAUAACAGUUGGAAACGACUGCUAAUACCGCAUAAGCGCACAGGAUUGCAUGAUCCAGUGUGAAAAACUCCGGUGGUAUGAGAUGGACCCGCGUCUGAUUAGCCAGUUGGCGGGGUAACGGCCCACCAAAGCGACGAUCAGUAGCCGACCUGAGAGGGUGACCGGCCACAUUGGGACUGAGACACGGCCCAAACUCCUACGGGAGGCAGCAGUGGGGAAUAUUGCACAAUGGGGGAAACCCUGAUGCAGCGACGCCGCGUGAGCGAAGAAGUAUUUCGGUAUGUAAAGCUCUAUCAGCAGGGAAGAAAAUGACGGUACCUGACUAAGAAGCACCGGCUAAAUACGUGCCAGCAGCCGCGGUAAUACGUAUGGUGCAAGCGUUAUCCGGAUUUACUGGGUGUAAAGGGAGCGUAGACGGCUGUGUAAGUCUGAAGUGAAAGCCCGGGGCUCAACCCCGGGACUGCUUUGGAAACUAUGCAGCUAGAGUGUCGGAGAGGUAAGUGGAAUUCCCAGUGUAGCGGUGAAAUGCGUAGAUAUUGGGAGGAACACCAGUGGCGAAGGCGGCUUACUGGACGAUGACUGACGUUGAGGCUCGAAAGC